GACGAACGCUGGCGGCGUGCUUAAUACAUGCAAGUCGAACGGAAAGGCCCUGCUCUUGUGGCGUGCUCGAGUGGCGCACGCGUGUGUAACACGCGUGUAACAUGUGCCUGUCAUUGGGGUAACACCAGGAAAAACGGGUUCUAAUCCCGUAUGAGCUCUUGCUGCACGGUGUGGGAUGGUAAGAUCUGGAGGUUGUGGAUGGUAUAGCGGCUCAUCCGCUUGUUGGUGAGGUUGUGGCUUACCAGGGCUUUGACGGGUAGCCGGCCUGGGAAGGUGACCGGGCACAUUGGGACUGAGGAACGGCCCAGACGCCAACGGGGGGCAGCGGUGGGGAGUAUGGCGCAAUAGGCUGAAGCGUGAUGCAGCGACUCCGCGUGCGGAAAAACGGCCUUCUGGUUGUAAACCGCUUUCGCCUGUGACGAAGAGUGAGUGACGGUAAUGGGUAAGGAAGCACCGGCUAACUACGUG
rnacentral:rRNA from 1 species